rnacentral:rRNA from 1 species
UACGUAGGGGGCAAGCGUUGUCCGGAAUCAUUGGGCGUAAAGAGCGUGUAGGCGGCCCGGUAAGUCCGCUGUGAAAGUCCAGGGCUCAACCCUGGAAUGCCGGUGGAAACUGUCGGGCUAGAGUCCGGAAGAGGCGAGUGGAAUUCCUGGUGUAGCGGUGAAAUGCGCAGAUAUCAGGAGGAACACCAAUGGCGAAGGCAGCUCGCUGGGACGGUACUGACGCUAAGACGCGAAAGCGUGGGGAGCAAACAGG